rnacentral:rRNA from 1 species
AUUGAACGCUGGCGGCAUGCCUUACACAUGCAAGUCGAACGGCAGCGCGGGGCAACCUGGCGGCGAGUGGCGAACGAGUGAGUAAUAUAUCGGAACGUACCCUGGAGUGGGGGAUAACGUAGCGAAAGUUACGCUAAUACCGCAUACGAUCUAAGGAUGAAAGUGGGGGCUCGCAAGACCUCAUGCUCCUGGAGCGGCCGAUAUCUGAUUAGCUAGUUGGGAGGUAAAGGCUCACCAAGGCGACGAUCAGUAGCUGGUCUGAGAGGACGAUCAGCCACACUGGAACUGAGACACGGCCCAGACUCCUACGGGAGGCAGCAGUGGGGAAUCUUGGACAAUGGGCGCAAGCCUGAUCCAGCCAUGCCGCGUGAGUGAAGAAGGCCUUAGGGUUGUAAAGCUCUUUUACCAGGG